UACGGGGGGGGCAAGCGUUUGUUCGGAAUUACUGGGCGUAAAGGGCUUGUAGGUGGCCAACUAAGUCAGACGUGAAAUCCCUCGGCUUAACCGGGGAACUGCGUCUGAUACUGGAUGGCUUGAGUGUGGGAGAGGGAUGCGGAAUUCCAGGUGUAGCGGUGAAAUGCGUAGAUAUCUGGAGGAACACCGGUGGCGAAGGCGGCUUACUGGUCCGGUUCUGACGGCUGAGGCGCGAAAGCGUGGGGAGCAAACAGG
rnacentral:rRNA from 1 species